rfam:Gossypium hirsutum cultivar TM-1 chromosome 18, whole genome shotgun sequence
CACGUCAGUGUGAUUUACUGACGUGGAAACAAAUCGCGUCCUAAAGGGUGCGAUUUGUUGCCACAUCAUCAAAUCGCGCUGACGUGG